rnacentral:rRNA from 1 species
GGCUCAGAUUGAACGCUGGCGGCAUGCCUUACACAUGCAAGUCGAACGGCAGCAUGGAGAGCUUGCUCUCUGAUGGCGAGUGGCGAACGGGUGAGUAAUGCAUCGGAACGUACCGUGUAAUGGGGGAUAACGUAGCGAAAGUUACGCUAAUACCGCAUACGACCUGAGGGUGAAAGCAGGGGAUCGCAAGACCUUGCGUUAUACGAGCGGCCUAUCAGCUUGUUGGUGAGGUAAUGGCUCACCAAGGCGACGACGGGUAGCCGGCCUGAGAGGGCGACCGGCCACACUGGGACUGAGACACGGUCCAGACUCCUACGGGAGGCAGCAGUGGGGAAUUUUGGACAAUGGACGCAAGUCUGAUCCAGCCAUUCCGCGUGCAGGAUGAAGGCCCUCGGGUUGUAAACUGCUUUUGUACGGAACGAAAAGGUUUCUAUUAAUACUAGGAGCUCAUGACGGUACCGUAAGAAUAAGCACCGGCUAACUACGUG